AUUCUGUGAAUGUUUGUGUUAUUUUUGUCUGAUUUUAAAUCAUGAUGAGAGUGAGAUUUAUAAAACAAAAAAUAUCUCUGUGUGUGUGUCUGUCUGUCUGUCUGUGUUUUGUUCUUCAGGUCUGGAUCGGUUCUGGGACAAACUCAAUCUGCUGAUGGUGCUGGAUACUAGUAAAUAUGACUUGAAGAUAAUGAAGAGAAUAGAUAACAGAGCAGAUGAUCCACUUUGUAGAGUAAAAUAUGGCAGGAUUAGGGAAUGCAAUCUUUAUAAUAAAAGACCUGAAGUGACAGUCAUUAAUGGGACUCUGACAAUAAACCGUGUGAUCAGAGCAGAUUCAGGGAAUUACAGAUUAACACUCGAAACAUCUAGAGAUCUUCAAGUUAUUGUUGAAGCUCCUAUUGGCUCAGUGGAAGUGUCAAUCAUCUGCUCCUCCAGUGGGGUGAUGAGGGUGUUCUGCUCCUCUGAGGGGGAUCAGCUCCUCUACAGCUGGACUCUGAAUGGAGAUCCACUGAUGGAUGGAAACAGCAGCAUUGAUCUGGAUGAGGGAACUGAUGGAGACAUCAGCUGCAGCGUGAAGAACCACGUCAGUCACACACAGAAGACCAUUAGACUCAAACCCUGUCCUGGUGAGAUCAUGUCUGUUCAUCUACAGAUAUCAACUACACAGAUUGAUUGAUAGGUUGGUUGAUAGUUUGGUUGAUUGAUUGGUUGAUUGGUUGGUUGUGUUUGUGUUGUUUAGUGNUUGUUCUUUAACUUUAUUCUGUUAUGGUUGAUUUCUUUCAUUUACUGGUCUGUUUAGAUGUUUUAUCUGUUUUAAGAUCUUGAUCUGUUUCUCAGUUUUGUCAUGUCUGUGGUUUUGCUGUCUGUGGUUUGGUUUUGCUUGGUUUUGUAAUUGACUUUUAACGUAUAUUCAUUAUGCAUUAUUCAUGCAUUAUUCUUCACAAGAUAUUUGCAUCAUAUAACAUUGCUAAACAUGCCCUUUUUUAGACAUUGUAAACGGGGUCAUUGCUGAAUUUGUUUUUUGAGUUAAAUGUGAAAAUAAACCACUCUGAAAUGAAACA
ensembl:lncRNA